rnacentral:rRNA from 1 species
UCGUCCCCGAGGAUUCAACAGUCUGCUCACCGCAAGGCUCGCAUCUGUUCUCCUCAUGCUCUUCUUUGCACAGGCCGGCGUUGCAUCAGAAGUUCCGCCGGAGGCUCACGUCGAUGCGGCCCAUGGUCCGGACACCAGCCUGCCACGACUGGCAAUGCCCAAUAUCGCUGCGCUCUACUGCGUGCAGCUUGGAUACGACUACGAGAUCAUCGACACAGAGAAUGGCCAGCAAGGUGUUGUGGUGUUGCCGAACGGAGAGG